AUGAGAAGGCAGCAGCAGGAGGUCGAGAGGAAGAAGGAGGGGUGCACGAGGUGGGCGCUGGUGGCGUGUGGUGGAGGCGAUGGUGGUGCUGGUGGUGCGUGGUGGAGUGGUGGCAGGAGGCGAUGGUGGUGCUGGUCAAUGGAUGGCGCGGAGGCGCACCACCACGCCGGCCUGGCCGUGGCGGUGACCGGAGUUGGAGAAGGAAGGGUGAGGGAGAGAGAGAUGUGCCAGGCCCAAAGGGGAUUGGUGGCUGCGCUAGGGAUUUUGAUCCCCCAUGAUCUGAUCUGCCACUUUGCAAUUUUGCCCUCCUACUUCUCUUCUUUCUUCUCAAGUUGGUCCCUCUCUUCUUUGGCUAACCCCUCUGGUUACUUCUUAUCAUCACACACAAGUCCCUCCGUCCUUCUUCUUUCUUUUCACUUGACUGGUUCUCUUAGCCACCUAGUCCACAUCUUAGAGUUUAUAGUGCCUUUGCGCACUUUUUUGCAAAAGAAACACAAUGACUAG
rnacentral:rRNA from 1 species